CCCCCGCCCCCAGCGUCCCGCGAGUUCCCGGAUGAGCGCGGCGCCCCGUUUCCCCAUGACAGCCGCCGGCUUUGUCUGCGGCCGGCCCGCACCCGUUCCCGCUCCCGCUCGAUACUCUCUUUCUUCCCCCGAGGCUUUGUCUCUGUCUCCUCCUCGCACUCCUCCCGCUUCGUGUCCCUGGGAAGACUCAGCCUCAGACACCAGCCACCCGACCCGGGCCGACUGCCCGGGACCCGGCAAACCCCGCUGACUGCGCAUUUGGGGAGGAUUGUCAAACCCAAAACAGAUCCACCCACUGAGGCGGCGGAGAAAAAGCGGUUCGGCGGGUGCAGCACUCAGGAAAUGAGGUGGCAAGCUAGACACACACCUACUUUGAGACAGGAAUUGUGUUGAAGAACUUCAUCACCCACCUGGUAUCCGCCAAGACAUAGCCCUUAGUGGAAUGAACUAUGGUCUCCUAAAGGCGGUUUCGUUUCAUGGGUCUGUGGAUCUGAGAGAAACAGGCGAUUGGCCCUCUCCCACGCAAGGAGAAGCAGCAAUGGACUGGGGCCUGCACCUGGGCAGGUGCACGUGGAGCUGGACGAUCCUGUGACAUCCUGGAAAAGCAGCGAGGAGUAUGGCAGAUCGUCUGCUCUGGAGUCAGCUGACUGCUCUGAAUCUUCGCUCUGUCACUCAGUCCUUGCAGGAGCUAUAUGAUCUGGGUCGGUUACUCAACUUCCUGAGGCUCGGUUUCCACCUGUGUGAAAUGGGGGUAAGAUGUCCACCUCAGAGGGUCAUUAAGAGGUUUAGACUGGUUAAUGCAUGGACAGCUUCUGGAGAAGGCAUUUUCCCAGGACCAGAGAAGAACUGGUGAGUGGAGUGCUUUGAAGGCACGUGAGGGAGGAUAACUACAGGCUGGGGCUCUGGGCGACCCUUCCCGAGGGAGAAGAAAAUGAAGUAGCUGUUAGUAGCAGGACGGAAAACAGGGUGCCUGGAUGCCAAGCAUCAUCAGGAACGUUGCCUGGGGUGGGAAAAAUGAAAUCUCAGAACACUCCUGCCUUCUUGACUACUGCUUUUCAUUUCUUAACUCUUUUUUUUUUUAAAUGAAGAUGGGAAGGUUUACAAUUUUGACAGUUCCAUUUAUUUCUACCAUUUUCAUCUAAAACAAUACAGUGAACAGAAAUUAUUCCACCCAGGGUUUCAACUGCAGCUGGAUAAAUGUCAGUAUUAAUUAAACAUGUUCUGUGUACUCUGUGUCGUCUCUUCUGUUCUCUGACUGCCUGUCCAUCUGUAUCUUUCUCUACCACCAACCACCAAACCACCCCUCUCUCCUUCUUCCUUCUCGUCCCUGGCAUUCAUCCUCACAGUGGGGCACAGGAAAAUACUCAAUAAAGACUCAGUUGAACUGCAGGGGCUGAACACAUGACUGGGAACCACGUGAAUGAAGCAGCCCAGAACAGCAAAUCCUCCCCCAGGACGGCACACAGAUGAUCCCAAAGAAGGAUACCUUCCAUUCCUGGGCUCACUGUCCACCGCCUCCACGCCACCCUCCCCCCCAGGUAGGAAAGCUGACCUGUCCCUGUUGGUGCCAAGCAGAGGAUGGAGGAUUGUGCACCCGAGCAAGGGGAAUGAGAUGACCCCCAAGCUCCAGUUCUCGCAGGGUUCCUCCUCAUGUGUCACUCACCCGGUGUAGCGGGGGCUCUCUGGACACCGAGAAAGCAAUACAAACUUUCUUUGCAUAAGCAUGGUCAAAUAUUUAUAUUUGUUUAGGAUUUUCUUCUAUAGGAUUUUUGUUUUGUAAUUCAAAUCUAUUUCCAAAAUAAAUCUGGAUCUCAUUUAUAAGUAAACAGUAAAAAAAAAAAAAAAAAAAGAAAA